rnacentral:rRNA from 1 species
AGAGUUUGAUCAUGGCUCAGAUUGAACGCUGGCGGCAGGCCUAACACAUGCAAGUCGAGCGGAUGAGUGGAGCUUGCUCCAUGAUUCAGCGGCGGACGGGUGAGUAAUGCCUAGGAAUCUGCCUGGUAGUGGGGGACAACGUUUCGAAAGGAACGCUAAUACCGCAUACGUCCUACGGGAGAAAGCAGGGGACCUUCGGGCCUUGCGCUAUCAGAUGAGCCUAGGUCGGAUUAGCUAGUAGGUGAGGUAAUGGCUCACCUAGGCGACGAUCCGUAACUGGUCUGAGAGGAUGAUCAGUCACACUGGAACUGAGACACGGUCCAGACUCCUACGGGAGGCAGCAGUGGGGAAUAUUGGACAAUGGGCGAAAGCCUGAUCCAGCCAUGCCGCGUGUGUGAAGAAGGCCUUAUGGUUGUAAAGCACUUUAAGCGAGGAGGAGGCUACUUAGAUUAAUACUCUAGGAUAGUGGACGUUACUCGCAGAAUAAGCACCGGCUAACUCUGUGCCAGCAGCCGCGGUAAUACAGAGGGUGCGAGCGUUAAUCGGAUUUACUGGGCGUAAAGCGUGCGUAGGCGGCUUUUUAAGUCGGAUGUGAAAUCCCUGAGCUUAACUUAGGAAUUGCAUUCGAUACUGGGAAGCUAGAGUAUGGGAGAGGAUGGUAGAAUUCCAGGUGUAGCGGUGAAAUGCGUAGAGAUCUGGAGGAAUACCGAUGGCGAAGGCAGCCAUCUGGCCUAAUACUGACGCUGAGGUACGAAAGCAUGGGGAGCAAACAGGAUUAGAUACCCUGGUAGUCCAUGCCGUAAACGAUGUCUACUAGCCGUUGGGGCCUUUGAGGCUUUAGUGGCG